AAUUAAAUCUUUCAAACUGCUGUUUGCAAAGAGAUGGCAAUGGAAAAGUGGUCAAACAAAUAACAAAGGAAAUAAAGUUAGCUCAUGUACCAGUCCAAAAAUAGAAAGGAUGGUGUCCUGGUUUAGGGAAAAUUUAGGAGAAAACCUCCAAAGGGGGCCCCUCCAGAAAGCAAACCCACAUGGCCCCACAACCGGUUUGGGAAGGAUUCCUCAGACAGAAGUGGAAAGAACCUGUUUACUUAACAGGCCAAGCAUUCCCCAGCACACAAAAUGGACAAUACCAGAUGACAAAAUUCAUUCUCCACUCCAAAAAGAUGACAAAUUCAGAAAGUCUCUCCUGGGACUGGCUGCUCUGUUAUCAGUCCCUCCAGCACUGGGAAAGGCUGCAGAGUAGGCCGCGGCAGGCUGCAAAGUAUGAUGUUUCCAUGGUGUUUCCCAGGGUCCUGGUCUGGAGCAGAUUUGAAUGGUUCCAAGAAAAGGGAAAGAAAAACAGUCCAGGGAAAGCUUGGACUGUCCUAGCUAGCUAAACUAACUAACUCAAAAGCAAAAGGAGUGCAGUGUUCUGCCCCAUCCGUGCCCAGACAACAACAGUGUUCCAGCAGACUGUGGAGGAGUGAGUCCAGUCCCUGAUAACAAAACUCUGUGCUUCUUCCUCUCUCUGCCUUCGCUCUCAGCCAGUCUUGAAGGCACAGAAUAUAUUAUCCAGCAUAAACAGAACACACAAUUGGGGAUACAAGCAUCAUAACAUCACCCUAGGACAGAUGGGAAUGGGACACGUUAUCGUGGUUACUUUGCCAUUGAUAGGUUACAUGAAUACUAUUUCUCCUCUUCUGUUCUAUGGCAACUCUAAUCUUUUUACCAUGCAUGACACUUUGCUGAGUGCAACUCUUUCAGCAGGUGAUUAAGGGGAUGCAGGUAGUAGCCAUGCCUACUGAUGCAGCCCUGCCAGAAGCCCGCUGCCCCCGCAGCUCUCUUGACGUGCUUUGAGCACAGAGUGCACGCAUUGCUUGGCAGGCCCCAGGGCAAGUGGAUGGGCCAGCACGGUCAUUGUAACGCAAAAAGAGAAGCCCCUGGCUGGGGUGGUGAGUGGGCACGUAUUGCUGGCUGGGGCCUAUGUACAAAUCACGAACAGGAUGGGACUGCUAAGCACGUGCCUUGAGCUGUUUUAUUUUCCAGCAUCAGUCUCAUUAGAUGGUUAUGACAAUGGGAAGAUGCUAUCAGCUCACAUGCCAAGCAGCAGACCAAGAACUUAUUGUUACACUUACUUUAGAGGUUUUUUGAUCAAUCACACAAAGCAAAAGCAUAUUGACAGUAGUUCUAGCCAGUCGCUAUAAGUGCACAUACUUUUGGUUAAAACAAUGCUUGCUUAUUUUGAAUACAAUACCUGUUUGUAAGACUUAAAACACAAUGUACAGAGCUCCAUUAUUAAGCUUAGAACUUCCUAAUAUUUCACUAGAUAUACUUUUCUGCAGCUUAGGGAGUUAUUCUAGACAAGCAUUAAUGCACAGACCAUUGUUCCAUUUGUCCUCACUUUUCUAUUUUUUACAUUUUUCUGCUGACUUAUUUUAUGGCUGCUGCUUAACUCUAAUCACAGUUCUUCUGUCUCUGAAGCCUGUAUUUUGCAGUUUUCCCAAAACCCUCUAAUUUUAUGGAUUCGCACAGGCACAAUGCUGUAUGGUUUUUCUUCCUGUCACUCAGUGGCCACCCCUGAAGCGGCCUGGUGGGUACUGUGCAACCCUGCAGAGCGGCACGUCUGGCCGGGUGGUGUGCGGUCAGUCAUGCAGCCUGUGGCAGCCCAGCUGGGGUGUGCUGACACUGUCCGUGCGGGUGCUGAGGGAGGGGAACUGAGGCCAGCAUUCCCAGGGGGAUGAGGGUUGACCACCUUUGCUGCACUGCCCUCCCUCCUGCCCGUGCCUGAUUCCGGCAAACCUGGGGUCCCCACAGCUGCGUGGCCGGUCAGGCUCGGUGCUGUGCUGCCGCACUCCCCUGAGGCAAUUUUCCUGCCUGUCCUGGGAAGGAGUUGUAAGGAACACUGAACCUCAAGGUUAACUGUCAGCAGGAGGAACUUGUCUCAAUUGGUGAUGUCUUUUUUCCUUGUGAUUCAGGUAUCUUGUGGUACAUGUGGUGGUGCUGAAGAGGAGCAGCUUGGCACAGAUGCUGGCAAAGGUGGUGCGAGAGCUCAACACAAUGAGCUUUCAGUGGCAUGUGUGAGGGUAGGAGGGUAUGGACCUUUUUGGGGUUUAGUACAAUGUUGCUGCAUUUGUGUCAGUUUAGUCAAUUUUUCAUCAGUGGCAUUUCUAUCUAUAAGUGCCACCCAGAGUCUUUCUAGCAUUUGAUGCCAUUUCCUUACUGUCAUUUUAAUACCUUCCUUCACUUUAAAGGGUGAUACAAUCUUUACAUUUUGAAAAUCCCUGUUAGGAAACACUAUGCCAGAGUAGUCAUCACUCCCCUUUUCUUUUGCCUAGUUUGUAAUUUUCAUAGACUCACUGCAAAUUUCUUCUAACGUCAGCAAGAAUACUGACAUUUCUUAUACUACUUAACAGGGUUGAUGCUCUCAGCUACUUUCCUCUUUCAUACUGCUUCAUCCUGUAUGUGACCUAAUGGCCUCUUUUUGUGAUCUGCAUUUUGCUGUGGUUUGGUAAAAACUGGCAUACACUGCCAACUCACAACUUGUGUGUUGGGAUUUCAAGGGCUUUGAUGGGUUCCUUUCUGAGACUGCCACGCGCUGGACUUUGACAUUCACAAAGAUUUCUUCUUCCAUAGGUUGUUUCAGUAUUUAAUAUUCUUUCUUGGAAUGUAGGCAAUAUACCAGCAAGUACUAAAUUCCCUGCAAUCCCUGUCUUCCCAAAGGAUAAUUUAAAAAGAUUGCUUUUCUCCUCUGACUAAUCUGCCAGUAUUUGGAUGGAGAAUUUGGUAUGUGAAGGGAACCUCUUAGAAGGGAUCUCAUCACAGGCAGUAUCUCAGACUUUCCUGAAAUACUUGCUCCUUUGGAGCCUAUAUUCUAUUUAGAGUACAUUUAAGAUUUUUUCCACAGAAGCCAUUCAACAAUGCCUCUUUUCCUAUAAAAUGUGAUGUGCAUGACAAAUAUGGAUCCCACAAAAGGUCGUGCACAUAUAAGGGCUAAUUACAAGAAUGGUGGCUCCCUCCUGCAGUUACAUUAGUAAAUGAGUUGAUAUUCCAAAGCUAAAUAUUCCAGGCCUUUGAACACAAAAGGAAGUCUUUGUCUCUUGCAAGAAUUACCCCUAGGAUAAUUCAUGUUUUGAUUUCUACAGAGUUAACCCUCUUGCAGCAAAAAGUAGAUUGUACUCUCUUCUUGCAUACUCUCUUCUUGUGCUCUCAUUUCCCCUCUCUCUGCUUUGGGUACCCUAGUUAAUGUACUAGUGUGACUCAUUUGAUAUCAUCUCAUAGUGCAAAUUCCGCGUAGUUUCAUGUAUUUACAAAUGCCAGUUGACAAGGAGCAUAACCAUUCAUGGGGCAAAGAAUUGUAGGGCUGGGCAACUUCAGGUGCUGAAACUGUAAGUGGUUGAGGUCAUGCCAUAUUAAAGUGACAGAGCAAAUAAUUUGAUACAGGACUUUCAGCUGGACACCUCUGAGAAUAGCAGCUUGUCAGCAAUGACACAGUGAUCUUUCUAGCUGUAUUCCAGAAAGAGAAAAGGGACACAUUUCUCUUUCUUAUCUGUGCCUUUUAUUUUCACAGAAAACAAUGGAGGUUUUAAUUAUUAUUUUUCAUUUUUUUGUUUUGUCUGCCUUCCUCUUUCCACCUACAACUAACAAUUUUGCCUUUCUUUUCUGGUUUCUCUUUCUGUACUUAUAGAAGGUUGCAUGAGGUCAUCCGAUCUUGUCAUAAACAUUCUCAUACUGUGGAAAUAAGUAUAAGGUACAUCUAACGGGAUAAAACAACCCAGAGUUUUUUACAGUCUUCUGUGUGAACAUUAAGACCCAAGACAUCUUUGACCUAUGUUAUGCUCUAUUGAUUUAACUUUUAUUCCACUAAUUACUAUUAUAAGUGUUUGGUCUAUAGUACAUAGCCUUUGAAAUAAAGCCAAAUAUUUUAGCUGUUUUUUUUUUUUUAAUUUUAUUUUUAUUUUAUAUUUCUAGCACAGGCUUUGUUUCUUAAGGAAUAUUCCAGAGAAAGAGCAUCCAUGGUAGAGUGCUGCUGUCAUAAUCAAAAGUGUCGUAAAUUCUGGUACAGAUUGUGCUGGUAAUAUGUCUAGAAAUUAAAGGUUUUAAAUAUUUUUUUACUUUUAAAUGUAACCAUUUUAAAAAAUAUUUAAGAGUUGGGGGUUUCCCCCCCACAAAAUACCUCUCUCCGAAAUGUUACUUAGCCCACCCUGUAAAAUAUGUUGCUGAUACUCUGCAGUAACUGCAGCUUAGCAGUUAGUGAUGAUAACAUGACAAAAUUUAGGAUGUCUUAGCUCCUGUCCUAAAGUUAAUGUGCAUUUUAAUACUUCCCAAGAAGGUGAAUUCAAGCUCCUUCAUUGCUCUGCACUGGAGUCCAAAGAGAAUUUCAGUGUAUUUUUUUGUCUUUUACAGCUAUCAUUGCGUAGUUCCUGAAUGUGAGACUCCCUCAUGACUGAUGAAAGUUGUCUAGUUGAGAGUGGGUCAAAGACAUGGUUCUGCUCUAGAAGGAGAUGAGAGAAGAUUUUUACAGUCUUAGUAAUCUCCACUGCUUGUGAUUUCUAUAUGAAACCAGUGGGAAGUUUUCUGAAGGCAGUCCAGAAGCUGGCAAUAUGAACAGCUUAGAACUGAACACUUGCUGCAGUGCUACAGGUGAUAAUAGAAAGGACUUAAAAAUUUAAAAGGGCAAACAAAGCAGUUGAAAGGUGUCUUGGUUUGAAAGACAGGUGUCUGCUUGGGAAGGAAGGAGCCUUUCUUGGAAUGGAGAAUGUAACCCCCUCCCUACAAAUUAUUAUAAUUUUCAAAUUAAGAGGCUCUCAGGCAAAGAUAUGAGGGUAGGAAUAACAGUUCUUUACUAGUAUGUAUAACAAGUCAAACAAAACAACAAUAACUAUGACGUUAACAACAAACAGAAGCAGGGACCCAAUAAAAGCCUUCUCAGCCACCGUCACUUUCCCCUUUAGUGCAGUUGCCAUCACAGCCAGCAGGAAUGAGCAAAAAUCAUCGGCGUGAUGGACAAAAGAUCACAGCAGCAAAGGAGUGAGAGAGAUUGCCACACAGGAUGACAAAAGCCACAACUCGCAGCUGAGGAGCACAUGUAUCAUUAACAUACGAAGUAAACAUAGCCUGCACAGGAGAUGGGCACUCCCGAGGGCAUGAAUGCGAAAACGCCCAGUGAUGAUGGCCCAUGUAGAUGUCUACCUGAGAUAGACAGGACCAUCAAGGACAUACAUCUGAAUGCGGGAUUCCGGGAACUGAGGACAGAUACACAUCAAUUCCCAGACGAGGCUUUGUCCAGUGCAAGACAGAGAAUAGACACAACAUGAAUAUUAAGAACUCCAGGAAGGGACAAAGGGACUCUGCUGAGGGCAAGAAAAAGAGUAUAAAAAUCGAACUCUGCCAGGCAUCAUUGGUGAACAGGGGGAUUCGGUGCGAUAGAGGCUGGAUCAUAGUUCACCCGCUCCGAUCCCGGGGUCGGUGCUUCUUUUUGAUUGUUGGUGGUCAGGACUGUAUAUCAGUGGCAAAUAAAUUUCAUUUUUAUUUUUAAUUUAAUUGGCUGGAUCAGUUUUUACCUAUAACAAAACUUUUCAAGGAAAGCUCUGAAUAGCAACAUUUGAGUAAAAAUAAUAAUUGAUCUCCUGUAUUUGUGUCAAGGAGGUAAGCUUUUUGCCAUCAACAGUUUUAGUUAAUCUUUUAUGUUAUGAAUAGAAAGUUGUAUUUUUUUUAAGUUUCAGAGUUAAAAAAAAAAAACAACAAGU